rnacentral:rRNA from 1 species
ACGCUCGACACCUACGGAGGCAGCAGUGGGGAAUAUUGCACAAUGGGGGAAACCCUGAUGCAGCGACGCCGCGUGAGCGAAGAAGUAUUUCGGUAUGUAAAGCUCUAUCAGCAGGGAAGAAACUGACGGUACCUGACUAAGAAGCACCGGCUAAAUACGUGCCAACAGCCGCGGUAAUCUGAGCGGGCUGGCAAGGC